CCCUUCGGGGUGUGACUGCGUACCUUUUGUAUAAUGGGUCAGCGACUUAUAUUCUGUAGCAAGGUUAACCGUAUAGGGGAGCCGGAGGGAAACCGAGUCUUAAUUGGGCGUUAAGUUGCAGGGUAUAGACCCGAAACCCGGUGAUCUAGCCAUGGGCAGGUUGAAGGUUGGGUAACACUAACUGGAGGACCGAACCGACUAAUGUUGAAAAAUUAGCGGAUGACCUGUGGCUGGGGGUGAAAGGCCAAUCAAACCGGGAGAUAGCUGGUUCUCCCCGAAAGCUAUUUAGGUAGCGCCUCGUGAAUUCAUCUCCGGGGGUAGAGCACUGUUUCGGCUAGGGGGCCAUCCCGGCUUACCAACCCGAUGCAAACUGCGAAUACCGGAGAAUGUUAUCACGGGAGACACACGGCGGGUGCUAACGUCCGUCGUGAAGAGGGAAACAACCCAGACCGCCAGCUAAGGUCCCAAAGUCAUGGUUAAGUGGGAAACGAUGUGGGAAGGCCCAGACAGCCAGGAUGUUGGCUUAGAAGCAGCCAUCAUUUAAAGAAAGCGUAAUAGCUCACUGGUCGAGUCGGCCUGCGCGGAAGAUGUAACGGGGCUAAACCAUGCACCGAAGCUGCGGCAGCGAACGUAUCACCCAAGACAACUUUACGGAGUUGACGAUUGACGGAGCGAAGCGACGUCAAAGCGUUCAUUAAAGUCGAGUUGGCUUAGGGAUACGUUCGUUGGGUAGGGGAGCGUUCUGUAAGCCUGUGAAGGUGUGUCGUGAGGCAUGCUGGAGGUAUCAGAAGUGCGAAUGCUGACAUAAGUAACGAUAAAGCGGGUGAAAAGCCCGCUCGCCGGAAGACCAAGGGUUCCUGUCCAACGUUAAUCGGGGCAGGGUGAGUCGACCCCUAAGGCGAGGCCGAAAGGCGUAGUCGAUGGGAAACGGGUUAAUAUUCCCGUACUUGGUGUUACUGCGAAGGGGGGACGGAGAAGGCUAUGUUGGCCGGGCGACGGUUGUCCCGGUUUAAGCGUGUAGGUGUGUGUUCCAGGUAAAUCCGGUUCACUUUAACACUGAGGCGUGACGACGAGGCACUACGGUGCUGAAGCAACAAAUGCCC
rnacentral:rRNA from 1 species